rnacentral:lncRNA from 1 species
UUUGAAGAGGUAGGAUUUGUAAGAAAACAAUAAGAGUAAAAGGAGUUACGGCAAACAAUUCAUACCUAAAUCUUAAACAUAAAACAAUACUCUAAAAUAGCACACAUAAAAAGGAGCAGACAAAAUUUAUGCAAGAACAACAAAAGGAGCACACAAAUGCAUCAAGGCAAAAAGUCUAAUUCAUUGAAAUAUUUGGAGAAGAAGUCGUACCUAUUUCGACGUAAAGGAAUUCAUUCGAUUUGGUUAUCUUAUACGUGGUCAAUUUAGAAGCAUCGUAACAAUGUGGUUUUCGGUAAUCAGGAUGGCUUAUUAGGUUCACCUUUUGAUGAUAUGAUUAAACUUCUGGUGUGGCCAUAGAUCAAGUUUAAUGAUAAGGCAUUUUCUUAUGACUACUAUCAAUGGAGCACUCAAUCACUCAUAUUUGAAGUAUUUUUUUUGUCGGUUAAUUUCAUUUAUUUUUCGGUUUGAAGACAUCGUUAUUUUGAUGCAUUUUAUGUAAUCAUUGACGGUAGUUUUUUUUUUUUUUUUAUCGUAACAUGUUAUGGUUUUAUUUUUAGUCAUGCUAUGGAAUGUUGCAGACAAAUUCCUGUUAUGAAAUGGUGCAGACAAAUUCCAUUUUCUUAGACAUUUUUUCUCAACCAAUUUGGGUCUUAUGUAGUUCUGAAAUGUUGAAAACCUAAUUAUCAAUGCAGUUUGAAUUUCU